CCUAGAGGGCUUAUCAAUUAACACCGACUACGGAGUACCAAGAUAAGCAAACAAAAGGCUACACGUCCACUCAUAGCGUCUGAAAAGACCAUGUGAAAGUUCAAUGAACUUUUAUAUGUCCAAGGAUUUAAUGACUCUUGGCAUGAAAUACAGUGAUAAUAGUUAGUAGUAAUGAAACAACCUUGGGGAAGUUUGGAGCGAAAUCUAAAGUUGCAGUGAUACUUAAUGAGGGGGCUACUACUA
rnacentral:ncRNA from 1 species